rnacentral:rRNA from 1 species
GACGAACGCUGGCGGCGUGCCUAAUACAUGCAAGUUGAGCGCUGAAGGUUGGUACUUGUACCAACUGGAUGAGCAGCGAACGGGUGAGUAACGCGUGGGGAAUCUGCCUUUGAGCGGGGGACAACAUUUGGAAACGAAUGCUAAUACCGCAUAAAAACUUUAAACACAAGUUUUAAGUUUGAAAGAUGCAAUUGCAUCACUCAAAGAUGAUCCCGCGUUGUAUUAGCUAGUUGGUGAGGUAAAGGCUCACCAAGGCGAUGAUACAUAGCCGACCUGAGAGGGUGAUCGGCCACAUUGGGACUGAGACACGGCCCAAACUCCUACGGGAGGCAGCAGUAGGGAAUCUUCGGCAAUGGACGAAAGUCUGACCGAGCAACGCCGCGUGAGUGAAGAAGGUUUUCGGAUCGUAAAACUCCGUUGGUAGAGAAGAACGUUGGUGGGAGUGGAAAGCUCAUCAAGUGACGGUAACUACCCAGAAAGGGACGGCUAACUACGUG